rfam:Ictidomys tridecemlineatus contig015666, whole genome shotgun sequence.
GUGGUUGUAGCUCAGUGGUAGAGUGCUUGCCUAACAUGUAUGAGGCACUGCAUUCGAUCCUCAGCACCACA